rnacentral:lncRNA from 1 species
UACGGAAACACUUUGCUAUGUGUGAGCCUUACUUCUUGCCAGGACUGGCUCCUCUGGCCUCUUCGGAAUUGGUGAUGUAAUCUCUGGCUUGCCCAAACUUGCCCUCUCUGGUAAUGUGCUCAACAGAACUUACAGCAAAAGGUCAGUGCAGCAAAGAAUGGGAGUCAUGCCAUGCCUGUUUUCUCUCUUGUCCAGAUGAAGAGGCCUCCCAGAAUCCUUUGCAGUAGUAAUAGGACAAGUAUAGCUCUCACCCCUCACCAGAGAAGCCUCCUGUCUGCAGGAGAUGGAGACGAUUACAGAAAUCCACAAGAGCUGAGUUCUUCUCUGUGCCCAACUCCAACCAAUACAUCUACAACCAACCCUUAGACCCAAGGCUCAGGGGACAUCAUGGAAGAAGGGCCAGAAAGACUGUAAAAGCCAGAGGACUGGGACAUCUGCUGUGAGAUAAUGUCUUCUGUGUGUGACAGGGAAGCUACAGCCAUGAAAUUACGAAGAUAAAGUCAUCUCAAUAAGAACUUUACAAUGACACCAUUUGAUAUUCCAACCUGGAUGGGGGAAAUCUUACAAGGCCCUGGCCCUAGAUGAAGAGCUACAGGGAAUUAGUAAUUAUAGGCA